UGAUUCUUCAGUCAGCCAUACA
rnacentral:miRNA from 16 species